rnacentral:lncRNA from 1 species
UUUUUUUUUUUUUUUAUCUUUUUGAUCACUCUAACAUAAUCAUGAUCCUUGGCCUAAAGAGAAUGACCAGGUUGAAUUCAGUCCCCAAAGUUGCAUGUAAGUAAUCUUUAAACUGUUUUGUGGAAUGCUCAAAAUAUAUUUUACUAUAAAAGUCAGGCGUCUUUUGUCAUAUUUAAUAUAGAAUAUACUGCAAAUUAUCUAGAUGCUUUUAAAAUGGUAGGGGAGUUUGACUAUUUCAUUAUAUUUGGUAGCCUAGUUUAUUUAGCAGAGAGCCAUAAAGAAGUGUAUUACCAAAAAAAUUCAGCCUGCUUCUAGAGGAAAAAAAAUGUUUAUUCUAAUUAUAAGUAUUAGCUUAUCUUUUUCCAGUCCUCCUUUGAUUUACAUGGUUAAGUUUUGAUAAAUUCUUUAAGAUGUUAUUCUUUUGGGAAACACUAAUGGCUUCUUGAUCAUCAUCACCUUGCCUAACUGAAAAUUUGGCUUUCAGUUCUUCUUAUGCUUUUUUUUCAGGGUCAUAAGGCAUAGUGUCAAAUCCUCAAUGCCCAGUGCUGUUUCCAGAACAUUCUUCAUGUUCCUCUUGUGGCAAACCCUGGUUCUUGAGGUUCAUGUCCCCCAGGCAUACUGCUUCCUCCUUCAUUCCAGUUGUGAAUCUCCAUUCCCUGAUGAAUAAAGUUCAUUCACUUCUUGCCUUCUAUUCUUGCCACCACUUUGUCUUUGUGUGGCAUAUCCAACAACAUAGUUUCUCAUUUCCUUGACCUCAUCUCUAGCAACUUUUAUUUCUGCUUUAUUUCUUCCACUUUGUUUGUAAGGACAAAUGGUAGUCCUGUAAGUUACCUUGAAUCUUCCAGCUCUAAAAUCAUGAAUUUGAUCCCACACUGAUCACAGCCUUCUAUCCUUCUCAUUCUCUUAUUCAGUUAUUUCCACUACAUCUUUAUUUUCUUUUAUUUUUAAGGAAUUGAAUAUGAUAUACCUUCCAUCUAUCUGUCAGGUUCCUCACACAUAGUUUUUUGCAGCAACUACAAUUUUUUUUUUUAUUGAAGCACACUAUACACACAGAAAAGAGUAUAUAUGUUAAAUAUGUAUCUCAAUGAAUUUUCACAACUGAACACACUCAUAUAAGCAGUGCCUAGAGUAAGAAACAGCAUGUUACCAAUGCUCUAAAGCCCCCUCGACCUCCCUUAAAACACCCAAUCCACUUUCUCAGCUUCCCACAACAUAAACUAUUUUAUAGCAUAACUGUAAUGUAUCUUUAGUUAUCAAAUGAUGGGAAAAGAAUAGUUAAUCCCAACUUAUUCACGUAAAGUAGGUUAUAUAAAACUCUUUUCCUAUUUUCUCUGUUUACUGCUGUCCUAAUUAAAUGGUUGUGAUCACCUCCGAGAAUGUGUUCCUACUGUAGUGUUAGUAUUGCCUUUAAAUACAGGACAGCUGUGUUUUUUGUGUUUUUUUUUUUUUUUUUUUUAAGAUUCACUUUCAACCCAUUUUGAAAAGAAGCUGGGCUUAAUGGCUUUUCAUGGAAAUGUUAGGAUAGUUACCUCUUUUUUUUCUAAUGUGCAUUUUAUAUUUUCUUUUAGGCACCAUAGUUCUUUCCCGAAGCCUUAAUUUGAGGUAGCUUUAGAACAUUAUUGCUUAAAAUGCCAUUUAAAAAUGCUGUUUUCUUGGCUCUAAGGAGGAUGCACCUGGACUACUCUUCUGGUCUGAUGGAUCCCCACUUUGUGGUUUGAAAGCAGGGCAUACUAGGAGGGCCUUCUGUCCAUUUAAAGAAAUGUUCAUGUAUAUGAAUUCAUGCUCUGACUAUAGAGUACUAAGAUUAUCAAAUAAAUGUAUGCAAACAUACAAACCCAUUUCCAGCACUCUCUUUAAAAAAGAAAAAAAGUUAUACUUUCUAUUAUACCAGUUCCUAAAAGUAGAAUUUUGGAAUUAGGUCAUUGUGGAGUGAAUCCUAGUUCUGUCAUCCAUGCUCUAUGACCAUAUGCACUUCCUUUCACCUCUCCAUGUCGUCUGUAAAAUGGGAAUAAUAUAUCUUUUCUAAAUUAUAAGUGAGGAAUAAAUGGCAUGAUGAAUUUGAUGUAUACUAAAAUCCUGCUGGUUUCACACAGAUUCACGAUAAAUGAUAGUUUUAUCUCCUUUCUUAUUCAAGGUCGAAGAGUGUCAAAGCCUUUAUCACAUUAUUCCUACAUAACUAUAGUAAUUUAAUAAAUAGUUUCUUCGUCUCCUGCCCUAAUUAAUCUCAAAUGCUUGCCUUUCUAGAUCUGUCUUCCUGAACUAUUAUUCCCAUCUUUGCUAUUUCCUUUUUAAAAACAUCAGUAGAUUUCUUGGCCAGCAGUCUGGCAUAGAAGGACUUCAUAGAUUGGCUUGAGAACUUCUGACCUUAUUAUCCAUCACUGCCUUUUCUAGGCUAACCAUCUGUCUCCUUGGUGCACUUUAGAUUUUCCAACCUCUGCACUUGCCCAAUAGGAAUGUCCUCUCAUUGUGACAUGUCUCCCAUUCAGGUAUUUCAGAUAGAGGCCAUUUUGCCUUUCUCAUUGGUGAUGCUCUCCAAGGCCUCUCACAGACUAAAAUUUUCCUUUACGUACCUUCAGAAUCUGUCCCCUUAACCAGUCAGCUGUCUUUAGUUUCCUUGUCUUGUUGCCUUUCUGUUCAUGUGCCUAGAAAAUCUCCCAACCUGGAUUGUUCUAUUCCAGAGUUUCACACCUGUUAAUGCUUUGGACCAGAUAAUUCUUUGUGGUAGGAGGCUGUCUUGUGUAUUGUCAGAUUGUAACAGCAUCCGGUAGAGGCCAGUAGCAAGCUCUUUCCUGUAUAUUGUGACAACCAGAUUGUCUCCUGAUAUUGCCACAUUUCGCAAAGGGACAAAAUUGUCUGUCCUAUCCUUUUUUGUUGAAAACCAUUAUUCUAACUGUAUGCCUUAAUUUGCCUUUUCACUUGUAUUUCAGAGGAAAAAUCAUAUGGGUCAUGGUUCCCAUAAAUCCGUAGUUUCUGAUUCAUCUGGGUCCUUAAUUGUGCCUAGUAGUUCUUUAAUACUUUCCUGGAAUUAUUUUAGGCCUUAUUCACCUCAAAUUUCCUGUCUCAUUGCCUUUCUUUUAUUCUUAGUGGAUGACUUUGUCUUCUCUUUGAAGAGAAAAGAAGGUAGGUUUUAUUUUUAUUUGUUUGUUUGUUUAUUUAUUUAUUUAUUUAGUUUUUUAGAAGGUAGGUUUUAGAUUUGUCCUCCCUCAACUUUGUGAUAUCAUGAGCUUAUCUGAUAUUCAAUUCUGACACCUAUAUUUAUCUAAUUUUGUGACCUUUGACAAGUUAGCCUUUUACGUGUCACUUUCUUCACUCAUCCUAUGGCUGUCAUGACCUUAGCAUAGUGCCUUGCCCACAUUAUCAGAUUGUGAUGGGGUUAGGAAAUGUCAGAGCUAGAGAAGUGAGUGUUGUUAUAUAUGAAGCGCAGAGAGAGCCUCUAGUUAGAGAUGAGACUCUGGGGAAAGUGAAACAUGAGCCACAUGGAGUUAUUUGAAGAAAGAACUUGAAAAAAUGGGACUAUAAUAUAAUAUGAGAGAUAGAAUAGUAACUGUAGGGCGAUGAGCAAUGAGAGAGUGAGUGGGUGGGUUUAGUUUUAGAUGGGAAAGACAUGAGGAUUUAUAAAUGCCCAUAGUAAGGUAUCAUCAGAGAGGGAAACAUUAAAGUUAAAAAAGAAAUAGAAUAAGCUAACUUACUGCAACAACCUCUUAAUUAUUCUCUAUCCAUUUUCCAUGCCGCAGUGGAUUAAUCAAUUUUUAAAAAUGUUCUUUUAAAAAAAAUUAUUUGACAGAAAGAGCACAAGCAGGGGGAGCAGCAGGCAGAGGGAGAGGAAGCAGGCUCCCCACUGAUCAGAGAAUCUGAUGCUGGGCUCCAUCCCAGGAUGCUGGGAUCAUGACCUGAGCUUAAGGCAGACACUUAACCAACCGAGCAACCCAGGUGCCCCUGAGUUAAUCAUUUUAAGUGCAAAUCUGAUUUAUUACUUCCCUGCUUAAAGCCUUUAAAUGUAUGCACUUGCCGGUAGUCUUAAUCCCAAACUUCAUAAGAUCAUGGCCACUUGUUGCUGCUGCUAAUAUGUCCACCUUCAGCUCUCACUGCUCCUUUUCUCUCCACCUAUAUAUACUCCCUCUGCCCCCACACACUCUCUGACCAAAUAUGUGUUUCAGGCUUUAGUCAUAUUGUACUGAAUUUCUCUCAGUUCCUCAAAUAUGCUAGGUUCUCCCAAGCUCUAUUUUUUACAUUCGCCUGAAAUCCUUUCCCUUUUCUCCUUCUUUGGCUGACUUUCAUUCAUUCUUCAGGCUUCAUCAAUCCUACCAUUUCUUUCUGAUCACUGCUCCAACUUGAAGCCUGGAUUAGUUAGCCCUUCUGUGUGCUGCCAUUCAUCUGUCCUUUAAUAUCUUCUCUUAGAUUUCUCAUACUUUUUUUUAUUUUUAUGAGUUACAAUGUGGUUAUAGUGAACAUAAUUUCUCUAACAUAUAAAUAUGAAUAAUGGGCUGGAUGGUGAAAAUGCUUACCAUUUGUACCCUUGAAAUUAAUAUUCUGUGAUAUAUAGAAUGAAAGUAAGGAAAGGACUUUCCUAGACUCACAAAGAAGAACUCUUUAAAAUACACACACACACACACACACACACACACACACAUAUAUAUAUAUACUGGUAGCCAUGGUGGUCCUGGGUUUUCUCAUUUUUCAUCCAUCCACUUUUUAUUGAAUGAUGUAUCAGGAAUGUAGGGAAAAAAAAAAAAA